CCCGCCUCCCCCUCCCCCUCCACCACCUAUAAGCCCAUCAAGCACCUUCCCGUCGCCACCUCCUCCCAUAUCUUCAGGUUCCCCUCUUCCUCCUCCGCCUCCUCUUCUGUCAGCACCACGUCUCAACACUGGCACCUCUGUUAAUGUGCCGCCACCGCCUCCCCCACCUCCCCCACCUCCCCUAAGACUGUAACAUUACAGUGUGUCUUGUACUUGGUAGAAUAACUUCUCAUAUUACUUGCGGUUACUCAGACUGUGAACAAGCCUGUGAGAUCAACAUUUUGUUUUUUUUUUAGCUCGAGAGCUUGCAGUGGUUUAAAGCCUGUUGAAUGGCAGUUCUGUUGGUACAGAUAGCCGCUGUACAGAUUCCUCCAACAUGUCUCAACAACACCUCGACUGCAUUCCUUAAAAACAAGCUGAAACAGGGAUUCUUGCUCUCCCUUGUCUGCUUAUCCCCCCACCCCACCCCCCACCCCAAAUGUGAUUUCCUUUCCUUAUUACACCUUCAUAUUGUUACCUUUAAUGGCAGUGGACUUUAGCCCAGUGCAGCUGUCAAUAUACUGUGUAGCAAGAGCAUAACUGAUGAUAAGUUGCGUCAGUAGCGCCAAUCUAGGUGAUUUCUGCUUCUUAAACAAGUCCAUGAGGCUGUACAUUGAUAUAAGUCAACAUUCUGCUUAACCUGCAUAUAGCUGAAGCCUCCUGUGUACAACUUAAGAAAUGACAGUCCUCCCCCUCCAUACAUACUUGAACCACCACCCUACAUCAACCCACCUUCACCACCACCCUACAUCAACCCACCACCGUGCCUCAACCAGCUCCCACUUCCCCCACCACCGUCGCCACCACCACUGCCAGCCCCACCACCCUACAUCAACCAGUCACCACUGCCACCAACGCCGCCACCGCCACUACCAUCACUACUACUACCAGCACCACCACCCUACAUCAGUCCACCAUCAUCCCCCUAACUCAGCCCAUGACCAUUUAUGCCUUCUUCCAUCCAUUCCAAAAUAUGAGCAUAUAUGUGGUCAGAAGUUUCAUUUGGGACAUUCGGUGUAUGUAUUAGAUUAAAUAUUGUAAUUCCACAUUGUGGGCGAAAGAUUCCUGUAUUGACAUAGUUCAUUUCAAACUUAAAUGCACUAAUGCACUUAUAUAUAAAAUAUGUUUUUGGUGAAAAGUUUUCUUGUAGUUUUUUUUGUUUGUUUGUUUGUUUUUGCUGUUUCAUUGUAAUGAUCCUGCUUCACAACAAAUUCACAUUUAAAAAACUGACCUGAUGUUUCUCAAAGGAAGACCGAGGAAUAUGGAGGACCACAAGAGCCACGCGCAUCGAAAUAAAAAUUUCUGUGCUUAAAUAAUGAAUUGUAGAAUAAAUUCUGCAAUUGUAAAUUCAUUUUUGAAUUCCAAUUUAAUAAACUGCAUUUCAAAAUCCUUUUUCCAAUUGCACUUUAAUAAACUGCAUUUCAAAAUCCUUUUUCCAAUUGCACUUUAAUAAACUGCAUCUCAAAAUCCUUUUUCCAAUUGCAAUUUAAUAAACUGCAUUUCAAAAUCCUUUUUCAAAAUCCUUUUUCCACUUGCACUUUAAUAAACUGCAGUUCAAAAUC
ensembl:lncRNA